CCUGGUUGAUCCUGCCAGUAGCAUAUGCUUGUCUCAAAGAUUAAGCCAUGCAUGUCUAAGUACACACAGCUGGUACAGUGAAACUGCGAAUGGCUCAUUAAAUCGGUUAUGGUUCCUUUGGUCACUCGCUCCUCUCGUACUUGGAUAACUGUGGUAAUUCUAGAGCUAAUACAUGCCGACGGGUGCUGACCCCCUUGGGGGGGGAGGAGGUGUGCCUUUAUCAGAUCAAAACCAACCCGGUGAGCUCCUCCCCGGCCCGGCUGGGGGGCGGGCGGCGGCGGCUUUGGUGACUCUAGAUAACCCUGGGCCAAUCGCACACCCCCCCAGGUGGCGAUGACCCAUUCAAACGUCUGCCCUAUCAACUUUCCAUGGUAGUUGCCGUGCCUACCAUGGUGACCACCAGUGACGGGGAAUCAGGGUUCAAUUCUGGAGAGGGAGCCUGAGAAACGGCUACCACAUCCAAGGAAGGCAGCAGGCAUGCAAGUUACCCACUCCCGACCUGGGGAGGUAGUGACAAAAAAUAAAAAUACAGGACUCUUUCGAGGUCCUAUAAUUGGAAUGAGUCCACUUUAUAUCCUUUAACGAGGAUCCAUUGGAGGUCAAGUCUGGUGCCAGCAGCUGCGGUAAUUCCAGCUCCAAUAGCGUAUAUUAAAGUUGCUGCAGUUAAAAAGCUCAUAGUUGGAUCUUGGGAGUGGGGCGGGCUGCCGCAAGGCGAGCCACUGCCCGUCCCUGCCCCUUGCCUCUCGGCGCCCUCUCUAUGCUCUUAGCUGAGUGUCCCAGGGCCAAAGCGUUUACUUCGAAAAAAUUAGUGUUCAAAGCAGGCCGGAGCCUCCUGGAUACUGCAGCUAGGAAUAGUGGAAUAGGACUGUGGUUCUAUUUUGUUGGCUUUCCGAACUGAGGCCAAGAUUAAGAGGGAUGGCUGGAGGCAUUUGUAUUGCACCGCUAGAGGUGAAAUUCUUGGACCAGUGCAAGAUGGACCAUAGCGAAAGCAUUUGCCAAGAAUGUUUUCAUUAAUCAAAAAUGAAAGUCAGAGGUUUGAAGAUGAUCAGAUACUGUCAUAGUUCCAACCAUAAAUGAUGCCGACUGGCAAUGCAGUGGCAUUAUUCCCAUGACCCGCUGGGUAGCUUCCGGGAAACCAAAGUCUUUGGGUUCUUGGGGGAGUAUGGCUACAAAGCUGAAACUUAAAGGAAUUGAGGGAAGGGCACCACCAGAAGUGGAGCCUGCGGCUUAAUUUGACUCAACACGGGAAACCUCACCCGGCCUGGACACGGACAGGAUUGACUGAUAGCUCUUUCUUGAUUCCGUGGGUGGUGGUGCAUGGAUGUUCUUAGUUGGUGGAGUGAUUUGUCUGGUUAAUUCUGAUAACAAAUGAGACUCUGGCAUGCUAACUAGUUAUGCGACCCCCAAGCGGUCGGUGUCCCCCAACUUCUUAGGGACAAGUGGUGUUCAGCCACCCGAGAUUGAGCAAUAACAGGUCUGUGAUGCCCUUAGAUGUCCGGGGCUGCACGUGCGCUACACUGACUGGCUCAGUGUGUGCCUACCCUAUGCCAGCCCGACCCUGCUUAGCUUCUGAGAUCAGACGGGAUUGGGUGCGUUCAGGGUGGUGUAGACCGGGAUGACGGUGGCCAUCCCUGGCUGCCCCAAGAGGCCAAGCUGCUACACGUCCCUCCUGGCCCAGUACCCCCCACCACCCCCGCACCCUCCUGCUGCCCCGUAGCCUUCAAAGCCUUGCUCAGGAGCUG
rnacentral:rRNA from 1 species